AAUUGCAAGCCUGAAAAGCAGUAAUGCACCGGAUUCCAUCAAAACUCCAAAGUUAAACGUGCUUGGACGAGAAUAGUACUAAGAUAGGUGACCUCCUGAAGAGUCCUCGUGUUGCACUCU
rnacentral:rRNA from 1 species